rnacentral:rRNA from 1 species
GAUGAACGCUAGCGAUAGGCCUAACACAUGCAAGUCGAGGGGCAGCACAAGGUAGCUUGCUAUCUGGGUGGCGACCGGCGCACGGGUGCGUAACGCGUAUGCAACUUGCCCUAUACAGGAGGAUAACCCGUCGAAAGACGGACUAAUACUGCGUAUGCUCACAACUUGGCAUCAAGUGGUGAGGAAAGAAAUUCGGUAUAGGAUAGGCAUGCGUCCCAUUAGCUUGUUGGUGAGGUAACGGCUCACCAAGGCAACGAUGGGUAGGGGAACUGAGAGGUUUAUCCCCCACACUGGUACUGAGACACGGACCAGACUCCUACGGGAGGCAGCAGUGAGGAAUAGUGGUCAAUGGGCGCGAGCCUGAACCAGCCAAGUCGCGUGAAGGAUGACUGUCUUAUGGAUUGUAAACUUCUUUUAUACGGGAAUAACAAGAGUCACGUGUGACUCCCUGCAUGUACCGUAUGAAUAAGCAUCGGCUAACUCCGUG